rnacentral:rRNA from 1 species
GACGAACGCUGGCGGCGUGCUUAACACAUGCAAGUCGAACGGAAAGGCCCUGCUUUUGUGGGGUGCUCGAGUGGCGAACGGGUGAGUAACACGUGAGUAACCUGCCCUUGACUUUGGGAUAACUUCAGGAAACUGGGGCUAAUACCGGAUAGGAGCUCCUGCUGCAUGGUGGGGGUUGGAAAGUUUCGGCGGUUGGGGAUGGACUCGCGGCUUAUCAGCUUGUUGGUGGGGUAGUGGCUUACCAAGGCUUUGACGGGUAGCCGGCCUGAGAGGGGGACCGGCCACCUUGGGACUGAGAUACGGCCCAGACUCCUACGGGAGGCAGCAGUGGGGAAUAUUGCACAAUGGGCGGAAGCCUGAUGCAGCAACGCCGCGUGCGGGAUGACGGCCUUCGGGUUGUAAACCGCUUUCGCCUGUGACGAAGCGUGAGUGACGGUAAUGGGUAAAGAAGCACCGGCUAACUACGUG